rnacentral:rRNA from 1 species
UACGUAGGGCGCAAGCGUCGUCCGGAAUCAUUGGGCGUAAAGAGCUCGUAGGCGGCCUGUUGCGUCCGCUGUGAAAUCCCGGGGCUUAACCCCGGGCGUGCAGUGGAUACGGGCUGGCUGGAGGCAGGCAGGGGAGAACGGAAUUCCCGGUGUAGCGGUGAAAUGCGCAGAUAUCGGGAGGAACACCGGUGGCGAAGGCGGUUCUCUGGGCCUGUACUGACGCUGAGGAGCGAAAGCGUGGGGAGCGAACAGG